rnacentral:lncRNA from 1 species
UGGCGGAUUCUCCCCCUUUUCCCUUCCAUCCCCCCGUUCCCGGGGUUUUCCGACCUCCCUUUCCCGCUUUUCCAGCCGUUCCCCGUCGCCUCUCCAAGCCACGGAGAAGGAGAAGGAGAGUCCGACGGAACUGGCCGAGCGCUGCCUCCGGGAAUUGUUGGGAAGAGCCGCCUACGGGAAUAUCAAGAACGCCAUCAAACCCGUCCUCAUCCACCUGGACAACCAUUCCCUGUGGGAGCCGAAGGUUUUCGCCACCGGCUGCUUCCGGAUCAUCAUGUAUUCCAUCCAGCCCCAGCAUUCCCACCUGGUGAUCCAGCAGCUCCUGGGCCACUUGGACGCCAACAGCCGGAGCGCGGCCCCGAUCCGGGCGGGAAUCGUGGAAGUGCUGUCGGAAGCGGCCGCCAUCGCCGC